rnacentral:sRNA from 1 species
CUGUCCGGCCCGCAGGGCGGUCGAGGUGGGAACGGAACAGCCCCGGGGCCCCCCCUUGAGGCGGCGAGGCCGCGAAGGGCGCGGGGCUGGGGGGUAGGAGAGCGCGGGAAAGCGCCCCAGACGCCACUCGCGGCGGACGGCGGCCAGUUCCCAGGGGUUCGGAGCCGGUUGCGCAGGCGUGGGGCGUCCGGGCGGGGGCGGGCCCUUAAUAGGCACCGCUGCGGGGACUGGAGUCGGCGGAGAAACCGGGGUCCCCAGCGCUGGGGGUGGGCGAGGGUCGCUCAUUUUCCCGGGACGGUGACGGGUACUGGGCGUCGCGAGGCCCCGGCCCCGCUACAGCCACCGUUGGAACGCGCCCGCGGCCGGCCUUGGGGGCUUCGGCUCAAGCGCGUCUUCUCCGUCGCCAGCCCGCGGCGCCAUGGCUCACGUCGGCUCCCGCAAGCGCUCGAGGAGUCGCAGCCGGUCCCGGGGACGGGGGUCGGAAAAGAGAAAGAAGAAGAGCAGGAAGGACGCCUCGAGGAACUGCUCGGCCUCCACAUCCCAAGAGAGAAGCAAGCAGAAGGCCCGGAGGAGACCACGAUCCAGCUCCUCCUCCUCUUCUUCCAGUUCUUCUAGCUCCUCUUCUUCCUCCUCGUCCUCCUCCUCUUCCUCCAGUGAUGGCCGGAAGAAGCGGGGGAAGUACAAGGACAAGAAGAGGAAGAAGAAGAAGAGAAGGAAGAAGCUGAAGAAGAAGGGCAAGGAGAAGGCGGAAGCACAGCAGGUGGAGGCUCUGCCGGGCCCCUCGCUGGACCAGUGGCACCGAUCAGCUGGGGAGGAAGAGGAUGGCCCAGGUACUGUGCUGCCCAGCACCUGAGAGGGAGAAGGUCCCUUCCCAAGGCCUGGUCACCACCUCCGUCUUCCCUUCCAGUCCUGACGGAUGAGCAGAAGUCCCGAAUCCAGGCCAUGAAGCCCAUGACCAAGGAGGAGUGGGAUGCCCGGCAGAGCAUCAUCCGCAAGGUGGUGGACCCCGAGACGGGGCGCACCAGGCUUAUUAAGGGAGAUGGCGAGGUCCUAGAGGAAAUCGUAACCAAAGAACGACACAGAGAGAUCAACAAGCAAGCCACCCGAGGGGACGGCCUGGCCUUCCAGAUGCGAGCUGGGUUGCUUCCCUGAGGGCCCCCGUUGGCCAAGGCCUGUGGACGGUGCUGGCGGCCCAGCCUGGGCAGGUUUCAGGGUGCCAGUGGGAAGCCUGAUGGGUGCUGGUGGCCUUUCCCCCGUGGAUUGGCCUCUGGGCCAGCCCAGCCUCUUCUCAGGGGCAGGGGGUGGAGGUUGAGGUCACCGGCCUGCUUGGCACCCCUAUCUGAAAGAGC